CAGCCGCCGCGGGAAUACGUAGGGUGCGAGCGUUAAUCGGAAUUACUGGGCGUAAAACGUGCGCAGGCGGUUCGUUAAGACAGAUGUGAAAUCCCCGGGCUUAACCUGGGAACUGCAUUUGUGACUGGCGAGCUAGAGUAUGGCAGAGGGGGGUAGAAUUCCACGUGUAGCAGUGAAAUGCGUAGAGAUGUGGAGGAAUACCGAUGGCGAAGGCAGCCCCCUGGGCCAAUACUGACGCUCAUGCACGAAAGCGUGGGGAGCAAACAGGAUUAGAUACCCGAGUAGUCCCUGUCUCUUAUAC
rnacentral:rRNA from 1 species